GGGAUUUCCCAGGAACUACAUCGCGUUCGCCUCGAAUUUGAAAGUAGAACUACAUUUGUAGACAAAUAGAAUAUUAUAUAGAUGCAGGUUGACUAGGAAAUGUGUCCAAUCAAAUGUAAUGAUGAACCAGACCCCUUUAAAGAGAAUACUCAUAGACACCUUAUGUUUUUAUGCCAGAAACCGCAAACUGGACAGUUGCGAAAUAUUAUUACUAAUGUUGCAUUACCAGGAAACAAUAAAGUAUUGAAUGCUCUCAAAGAGUCUUUUGAGGUGGAUCUAACAACAGUGGAAAAUAUAUGUAUCAGUCAGUGCAAGAUAUGUUUGACCUGUAAACGAAAUUUAGACAUAUGUGUGCAAUUUCGCAACAAUUUAUUAACAGCUAUUUCAAGGAAGCCAAGUCUUUUAAGUGCACAGGCAAGAAUUAAAAGAAUGGCCCAGAAUCAAACACCAAGCUCUUCUACAAAAAAUAAGGCUGAUCAGGAAAACAAAGAAAAUAAACAACCACUGACACCAAUCAAUCCAAAGAAAAAAAAAAAGACUUCAGUUUUCGGGUAUUGAUGUCACGCCAGUCAGUUCUACACCCAAGGAACCUUGUAAUUUGUCUGACAUAGCUGCAUCUGAUCAUAGUUAUGGAAGUUAUUUGACACCUCUGGAGAUGGCCAAAUCUAAUUCCUUGCAAUCUAAGAUAGAUUUCUUUAGGAAAGAAGAUGAACAUAACAAGGAAAGUGAAUGCUGUACAGCUGAAGAAAUCUUCAAGAAUAAAAACAAGUUGGCUGAAAUCCAGCGCCUGAUAUUACUUGAGACUGAAUUAAUAGCAGACAAACUUUGUUCACAGACAGUACCACCAGGUCCCUCUGUUCUAAGAGCAUUUCAGCAACCAUCACUUUUGAAGUCGGAAGACAUUUUAAGCAAAUGUCUCAUUGAAUUUCAAAAUUGCCUACCAUUUGUAUUUAAAAUAUUUCAGACUAUGUCAUCUUCAAUUUUCACAGAUCCUGAAAAAGUAUCUGCAGCUAAUUCCACAAUAGCUACAAUGUAUGGUAUGGCAAUGAACAGAAGGAACAAGGAUUUGUGCGCAGUACAAAAAAUAAGCACUUGUGUUGCUCUACGGUUUCACGCUGGAAAUGAUCUGCUUGAUAUUUUCAACAAAGCAAAUAUAACACUGGCAUCUGGCAGUUAAUAUGGAUUUUUAGAGGACAUGGGCCGUUUCAACACUGAAGGUAUAAUAAGAAGCAUAAGGGAAGGAAAACCUGGAAAAAUUACAGCAGAUAACAUUGAUGGUAUGACAAUUGCAAGAGAUGUGAGACUUACAGGUGGGAAUAAGCACUACCAUUAUACAGCAUCAACGUAUUAUCCAGACAGAGUAGAUGUGUCAGAUUUGGAACACAAUAGAGUUGUGCCUGAGGAAAUUCCUUCCAGUACUUUUUUUCUAAAUGGAAAUGAAGAAAUGAAACUUAAGGAAAUGUAUGGAUAUAUGGUUGGGAGGAUUAUGGUGGCUUAUUUUCCAGAGGUAAAGUGGAUGGAGUCUUGUAUCCCAAAGCAUAUUCCUCACCCCUACAGUCAGGAAAUGUCAACCAAGUCCCAAAUAUUUCCU